GAUCCUCUCCUGAUCUGAAAGCAAGGGCUCCCUGAAAAGCUAUUAAAAGUUGAAGAUUGGUGUGUUUCCUGAACUGAAACAAGAUAAAGCAUAGCUAAUGUGAUGAGAGAUGAUGAGAGUUGCAGUCCAUCAACAUCAAGAAUGGCCACAACAGAAUGCUCACAGAGAAUGAAAGAGACUUAUUUCUAUCACUGAAGACAUCAGGAGCUCACAUCAUCCUUCACUAUUGAAGAACCUGGCAAGGGCUGAUGAGAGAUGUAGUUCAAAAAUAUCUGGUGACUCACACACUGGCCAUCCCUUCUUCAUGUUCCAGGAUUCUAC